UGCCUAUGUUUGGCUGCUGCAAGAGACCUU
rnacentral:piRNA from 1 species